rnacentral:rRNA from 1 species
CGGCUAACUCCGUGCCAGCAGCCGCGGUAAUACGGAGGGUGCGAGCGUUAUCCGGAAUUACUGGGUUUAAAGGGUGCGUAGGCGGCUUUGUAAGUCAGGAGUGAAAGUUAGCGGCUCAACCGUAUUAUUGCUUUUGAUACUGCGAGGCUAGAAUUAGGAUGAGGUCAGCGGAAUGUGGCAUGUAGCGGUGAAAUGCAUAGAUAUGCCAUAGAACACCAAUUGCGAAGGCAGCUGACUAGACCUGGAUUGACGCUGAGGCACGAGAGCGUGGGGAGCGAACAGGAUUAGAUACCCUGGUAGUCCACGCCCUAAACGAUGCUUACUCGAC